UACGUAGGGUGCGAGCGUUGCCCGGAUUUACUGGGCGUAAAGAGCGCGUAGGCGGCUCGAUAAGUGUGAAGUGAAAUCUCUAGGGCUCAACCCAGAAACUGCUUUACAUACUGUCGAGCUGGAGUGAUGAAGAGGUUUGUGGAAUUCCUGGUGUAGCGGUGAAAUGCGUUGAUAUCAGGAGGAACACCCAUGGCGAAGGCAGCAAACUGGUCAUCAACUGACGCUGAGGCGCGAAAGCGUGGGUAGCAAACAGG
rnacentral:rRNA from 1 species